GACGAACGCUGGCGGCGUGCCUAAUACAUGCAAGUAGAACGCACAGUUUAUACCGUAGCUUGCUACACCAUAGACUGUGAGUUGCGAACGGGUGAGUAAUGCGUAGGUAACCUGCCUGGUAGCGGGGGAUAACUAUUGGAAACGAUAGCUAAUACCGCAUAAUAUUAAUUAUUGCAUGAUAAUUAAUUGAAAGGUGCAAUUGCACCACUACCAGAUGGACCUGCGUUGUAUUAGCUAGUAGGUGAGGUAACGGCUCACCUAGGCGACGAUACAUAGCCGACCUGAGAGGGUGAUCGGCCACACUGGGACUGAGACACGGCCCAGACUCCUACGGGAGGCAGCAGUAGGGAAUCUUCGGCAAUGGACGAAAGUCUGACCGAGCAACGCCGCGUGAGUGAAGAAGGUUUUCGGAUCGUAAAGCUCUGCUGUAAGAGAAGAACGGGUGUGAGAGUGGAAAGUUCACACUGUGACGGUAUCUUACCAGAAAGGGACGGCUAACUACGUG
rnacentral:rRNA from 1 species